GUGAACGCUGGCGGUAGGCCUAACACAUGCAAGUCGAACGGCAGCACAGUAAGAGCUUGCUCUUACGGGUGGCGAGUGGCGGACGGGUGAGGAAUACAUCGGAAUCUACUUUUUCGUGGGGGAUAACGUAGGGAAACUUACGCUAAUACCGCAUACGACCUACGGGUGAAAGCAGGGGAUCUUCGGACCUUGCGCGAUUGAAUGAGCCGAUGUCGGAUUAGCUAGUUGGCGGGGUAAAGGCCCACCAAGGCGACGAUCCGUAGCUGGUCUGAGAGGAUGAUCAGCCACACUGGAACUGAGACACGGUCCAGACUCCUACGGGAGGCAGCAGUAGGGAAUAUUGGACAAUGGGCGCAAGCCUGAUCCAGCCAUACCGCGUGGGUGAAGAAGGCCUUCGGGUUGUAAAGCCCUUUUGUUGGGAAAGAAAAGCAGCAGGUUAAUACCCCGCUGUUCUGACGGUACCCAAAGAAUAAGCACCGGCUAACUUCGUG
rnacentral:rRNA from 1 species